rnacentral:rRNA from 1 species
UCCCAGACUCCUACGGGAGGCAGCAGUGGGGAAUAUUGCACAAUGGGGGAAACCCUGAUGCAGCAACGCCGCGUGAGUGAAGAAGUAUUUCGGUAUGUAAAGCUCUAUCAGCAGGGAAGAAAAUGACAGUACCUGACUAAGAAGCCCCGGCUAACUACGCGCCAGCAGCCGCGGUAAUACGUAGGGGGCAAGCGUUAUCCGGAUUUACUGGGUGUAAAGGGAGCGUAGACGGCUGUGCAAGCCAGGAGUGAAAGCCCGGGGCCCGACCCCGGGACUGCUCUUGGAACUGCGCGGCUGGAGUGCAGGAGGGGCAGGCGGAAUUCCUGGUGUAGCGGUGAAAUGCGUAGAUAUCAGGAGGAACACCGGUGGCGAAGGCGGCCUGCUGGACUGCAACUGACGUUGAGGCCCGAAAGCGUGGGGAGCAAACAGGAUUAGAUACCCCAGUA